rnacentral:rRNA from 1 species
AUGUACUUUUUAUUCUUAAAUUCAGUGUUGAACCUUGAUAUGCCUAUGUCGGAAACCACGACCACCAGCAUGCAGUGCGGGCAAUGGGAGGAGAACAGAUGGCCACCUUGCUGGGAACCAUGGCCGCCCCACAUGCAACAGAUAAAUGAAUGGUGGAUGGAAGGCUACCUCACUGGGAACCAGGGCCAUGACUUGCAGUGGGCAAUCUGUGGCAAACGGAGGCAGGUACUUAGCCAAAUGGUGUACAUGGACAUGAUGACUUUCCAGCGUUUAUGGACCAACCAACUUGUAAUCAUUUGGUGUUUCAGUUAUUUUGGAGCUUGCAUUUUGUGCAUGUGGAUACAGACUUGUGUGUUCUGGACCAUGUAG